UACAGAGGGGGCAAGCGUUAUUCGGAAUUAUUGGGCGUAAAGGGCGCGUAGGCGGCUUGGCAAGUGGAAGGUGAAAUCCCUCGGCUUAACCGAGGAACUGCGUCUGAUACUGGAUGGCUUGAGUUUGGGAGAGGGAUGCGGAAUUCCAGGUGUAGCGGUGAAAUGCGUAGAUAUCUGGAGGAACACCGGUGGCGAAGGCGGCAUCCUGGACCAACACUGACGCUGAGUGAGCGAAAGCCAGGGGAGCAAACGGG
rnacentral:rRNA from 1 species